AUCCAGUAACCAGAGGGCAGGGUCAGAAAACCAGAAAACUCUUUGGAACAUGAGACAAGGCUUGAAAGCUGUGACAGCGGCAACAGACGAUCUCGCACUGAGAUGGUGACGACAGCUGUUUAAAUAGGGAGCAGCUCAGUGCAGCUGAGUGAAGCGUGACGUUGGGUUAAUGAAAGAUGGACUGAUAGGAGUUUCCGCAGCUGCAUCCUGAUGCGUUUCCUUCGCCAUUCUACCUGCAUGCCACACAGUCUGACGCCCAGCUUCGCCGAAGUGGUCUGUUUGCAUUUUUUUAUCUGCCGGGCCGCCUUCUCCUCCGAGGCGUCGUCGCCGUGCUGCCGGGUUCCCAUCUUCAGGUCCAGGAUGCAGGGGAAGGAGAAGGGGUGGACGAUGUUCUCCAGCAGCAGGCCCUCUGGUUGAGACGCCGCAGUUAGGGAAUAAAACCUGGAGGAUUUCAUCGACCGCAGACUGAAUCUGAUCUAGUUUUAAGAAUGUCAGUUGGAAAAAUAUACAAAUAUAUUUGAUUUA